rnacentral:snoRNA from 1 species
GCUCUGUGAUGAUCCCCCAUGCGUGUCAGCUGAGCCCAGCUUCCCCUGUUUUCCCAGGUCUAAGUGGGUGUCUUACCCUUUAGUCUUUCUGGGCUGGCAGAGGUCUCUGUGCACAUGAUCAUACUUCUAAGCCUGAGAGC